UACGUAGGGGGCAAGCGUUGUUCGGAGUUACUGGGCGUAAAGGGUGUGUAGGCGGUUGUUUAAGUUUGGUGUGAAAUCUCCCGGCUCAACUGGGAGGGUGCGCCGAAUACUGAAUGACUUGGAGUGCGGGAGAGGAGAGUGGAAUUCCUGGUGUAGCGGUGAAAUGCGUAGAUAUCAGGAGGAACACCGGUGGUGUAGACGGCUCUCUGGACCGUAACUGACGCUGAGACACGAAAGCGUGGGUAGCAAACAGG
rnacentral:rRNA from 1 species